GGGUGCGAGCGUUGUCCGGAAUUACUGGGCGUAAAGAGCUCGUAGGUGGUUUGUCGCGUUGUUCGUGAAAUCUCACGGCUUAACUGUGAGCGUGCGGGCGAUACGGGCAGACUUGAGUACUGCAGGGGAGACUGGAAUUCCUGGUGUAGCGGUGGAAUGCGCAGAUAUCAGGAGGAACACCGGUGGCGAAGGCGGGUCUCUGGGCAGUAACUGACGCUGAGGAGCGAAAGCGUGGGGAGCGAACAGGAUUAGAUACCCUGGUAGUCCACGCCGUAAACGGUGGGUACUAGGUGUGGGUUUCCUUCCUUGGGAUCCGUGCCGUAGCUAACGCAUUAAGUACCCCGCCUGGGGAGUACGGCCGCAAGGCUAAAACUCAAGAGAAAUUGACGGGGGCCCGCACAAGCGGCGGAGCAUGUGGAUUAAUUCGAUGCAACGCGAAGAACCUUACCUGGGUUUGACAUGCACAGGACGCCGGCAGAGAUGUCGGUUCCCUUGUGGCCUGUGUGGCAGGUGGUGCAUGGCUGUCGUCAGCUCGUGUCGUGAGAUGUUGGGUUAAGUCCCGCAACGAGCGCAACCCUUGUCUCAUGUUGCCAGCGGGUAAUGCCGGGGACUCGUGAGAGACUGCCGGGGUCAACUCGGAGGAAGGUGGGGAUGACGUCAAGUCAUCAUGCCCCUUAUGUCCAGGGCUUCACACAUGCUACAAUGGCCGGUACAAAGGGCUGCGAUGCCGCGAGGUUAAGCGAAUCCUUUUAAAGCCGGUCUCAGUUCGGAUCGGGGUCUGCAACUCGACCCCGUGAAGUCGGAGUCGCUAGUAAUCGCAGA
rnacentral:rRNA from 1 species